AGAGGUGAGGGUGAUAAAAAAAUCGUAUAAAAGGAGAGAGAAAAGGCGAAGGUAAGUCAGUCGAGGGAGCAUCUCCGACACGGCAACAACUGCAGCGCACUAUCUGUCACCAUCUGCCAUCUUCACCGUAUAGUCAGUUCGCAUCCAUGGCAAACUAUGGCGUAGUGCUGUUGUUGUGUGUUGAAUCAUUGAUGGCUGGGUCGACCACUGGUGUACCGAUGUCUUCUUGGUAUGGUGGAUAUCAAACCGCAACGACGCCGCCUUAUUACCCAAAAGCAACGCAACGACCAGUUACUGCACCGAGGUCUUCAAGUACUACACCACUAAAGCACCGGACUUUAAUAGCACAAUUUACGCUGCCCCGAGCCACUACACUGACGCCCUGAAGUAUUGCUCUGCCCCGAAUUACUACACCACCAAGCAAGCAAGGAGCAUGACUACGCAUGUUGCCUCAUCCUACUACACCGAGGCUCCAAACUGCUACACCGAGGCUCCCGCUGUUUACUACACCGAAGCGGCAAAGUACUACUCUGC